UACGGAGGAUGCAAGCGUUAUCCGGAAUCAUUGGGUUUAAAGGGUCCGUAGGCGGUUUAGUAAGUCAGUGGUGAAAGCCCAUCGCUCAACGGUGGAACGGCCAUUGAUACUGCUAGACUUGAAUUAUUAGGAAGUAACUAGAAUAUGUAGUGUAGCGGUGAAAUGCUUAGAGAUUACAUGGAACACCAAUUGCGAAGGCAGGUUACUACUAAUACAUUGACGCUGAUGGACGAAAGCGUGGGUAGCGAACAGG
rnacentral:rRNA from 1 species